GUGCACAAGUCAACAUUGUUGCAACACUUUUCAAAAAAUAACAUUAAUUUAUCGAAAAAUGUCUUCCGACGGUGUUUCUCAACAAUAUCUAUUGUUUGAUGACCAUAAGCCUGAAGCUGCUCAGUAUUUUUUAAAAGACUCUGUGACAGUUGAUCAUGUUCCCAGUUGCGAAUUAAGCGCAACCACUCAAAGAGAAAUCUUUUCGUCAUUUGAUAUAUUUUUAUUGGUGGCUACAAAUAUGUUUGUAAUUUUAUUUAUAAUUUGUAUUUUUGUUUGGUUUAUUUAGCCACUUGUGUAUUAAAAAUAAUCUGUGAUUUUUUUUUUUUGCAUUUUAUAAAAGAAUCUUAUAAAAAUGAAAUAGUUUGUGAAAUAUCUACAAUAAAAUAAAAUUUAAUCUCGAUGUAAUGUUUGUGCUCAAAGAAAUUCUUUUACCUUAUAACAAUUAAAGAGUUUGUGAAAUAAAAUUUAAGGUUUUUUAUAAAUAA